rnacentral:rRNA from 1 species
AGCAGCCGCGGUAAUUCCAGCUCCAAUAGCGUAUAUUAAAGUUGUUGCAGUUAAAAAGCUCGUAGUUGAAUUUUAGGCCUGGCCGGGCGGUCCGUCUUUGGCGAGUACUGUCCUGUGUCGGGUCUUCCUUCUGGUGAACCAGUAUGUCCUUUAUUGGGUGUGCCGGGGAGCCAGGACCAUUACCUUGAAAAAAUUAGAGUGUUUAAAGCGGGCUUUUGCUUGGAUAGAUUAGCAUGGAAUAAUAGAAUAGGACGUUGUGGUUCUAUUUUGUUGGUUUCUAGGACCACCGUAAUGAUUAAUAGGGAUAGUUGGGGGCAUUAGUAUUCAAUUGUCAGAGGUGAAAUUCUUGGAUUUAUUGAGGACUAACUAUUGCGAAAGCAUUUGCCAAGGAUGUUUUCAUUAAUCAAGAACGAAAGUUAGGGGAUCGAAGACGAUCAGAUACCGUCGUAGUCUUAACCAUAAACUAUGCCGACUAGGAAUCGGGAGACGUUAUUUUUAUGACUCGCUCGGCGCCUUAUGG